UCUAACCUACAACGGUUAUCCCGUUGAGGAACAGUGUUAAGUGGGUAGUUUGACUGGGGCGGUCGCCUCCUAAAGUGUAACGGAGGCGUCCUAAGGUUCCCUCAGACUGUUUGGAAAUCAGUCGUAGAGUAUAAAGGCAUAAGGGAGCUUGACUGUGAGACCGACAAGUCGAACAGGUAGGAAACUAGGGCUUAGUGAUCCGGCGGUCCCGUAUGGAAGGGCCGUCGCUCAACGGAUAAAAGGUACGCCGGGGAUAACAGGCUAAUAGGGCCCAAGAGCUCAUAUCGACGGCCCUGUUUGGCACCUCGAUGUCGGCUCAUCGCAUCCUGGGGCUGAAGCCGGUCCCAAGGGUUGGGCUGUUCGCCCAUUAAAGCGGUACGUGAGCUGGGUUUAGAACGUCGCGAGACAGUUCGGUCCCUAUCCGCGGU
rnacentral:rRNA from 1 species